CAGUAGCCGCGGUAAUACAGAGGAUGCAAGCGUUAUCCGGAAUGAUUGGGCGUAAAGCGUGCGCAGGCGGUUCUAUAAGACAGAUGUGAAAUCCCCGGGCUCAACCUGGGAACUGCAUUUGUGACUGUAGAGCUGGAGUGCGGCAGGGGGGGAUGGAGUUCCGCGUGUAGCAGUGAAAUGCGUAGAUAUGCGGAGGAACACCGAUGGCGAAGGCAAUCCCCUGGGCCUGCACUGACGCUCAUGCACGAAAGCGUGGGGAGCAAACAGGAUUAGAUACCCCGGUAGUCCCUGUCUCUUAUAC
rnacentral:rRNA from 1 species